rnacentral:tRNA from 1 species
GCCUGGGUGGCUCAGUGGUUGAGCAUCUGCCUUUGGCUCAGGGCAUGCUCCCAGGGUCCUGGGUUCGAGUCCCACAUUGGGCU